rnacentral:ncRNA from 1 species
AUCUUCAGGGCAGGGUGAAAGUCCCUACCGGUGGUUAUAGCCCACGAGCCGACGCUAUACGCGCUGACGCAUGAAUCGGUGAAAUUCCGAUGCCGACGGUUACAGUCCGGAUGGAAGAAGAUG